GACACAGACAUGAAGCUCUGAGCUCAGUGAGCUUCCUGAUCUGAUUUACCCGGCUCUUUUCCAGGAGGGAAUUUCCACCAGCCAGUGCUGGAUGCCGCAGUCCAUUUGGAUGAGACAGAAGGGGAAAUUUCCAGGUGGGGACAGCGUCAGCCCUUGCCUGGAGGACACUGAGGAUUUGCGAUCGGGAGGCUCGUGUGCAUUCUUGGUUUCAUUCGGCUCCUUUUCAUCGGUGGGCACCCGGAAGAAGGGAGAAAAGUCUUUGAUGGCCUUCCCCAGUACGCACAGAAGAUGAGAGAUGAGAACUAGUUCAUCACUCCCAGCGCUGCCAUUUUUCAGAGACUCAGAGAGAGCAGAGAACAGAAAUAAGGAGAAUAACGCAUGACUUGUGUUGAUCAAGAUAUUCCUCCCAAUCGUACAAGAAGGGGGCCAGGGACCACUGGUAAGAUGUGGAAUAUGAAACUCAUCAGACCUGGCGUCAUCAGAGGCUGUUCUUGGUUUUCUGCAGGUAAGUCUUCUUUCAUGUCUUUGUUCACCACUUCAGCCGGUUUUCCCUUCUUCCCUAUUGUUCGCAUUUUUUUGUCUGAAGAUUUAUCCUUUCCUGCCACCUUUUUUGCCUUAGUUUCCACAUUUGCAGGAGCAGGGUUAGCGGGCAGACCCCUCUGUGGACCUCCCCUUCCUCCAGGGCAUCAGGGUAGCAGGGCAGGUGCACCAAGAGCCUUCUCGAAGCUGGGGCUGCCUCGCCGCUGCCACCCCUCUAGCCUCCCAUCAUGGGUUCUUUGAGUAGGUUUUGUUUUGCUUUGAGCACUUUUUUGCUUUCUGGCAUAGGAAGCAGCUCUAGGGGCACCCGGAGGGGCUCAGUUAGUUGAGCAUCUGAUUUUGGCUCAGGUCAUGAUCUCAUGGUUGGUGGGUUUGAGCCCCG